rnacentral:rRNA from 1 species
UACGAAGGGGGCUAGCGUUGCUCGGAAUCACUGGGCGUAAAGGGUGCGUAGGCGGGUCUUUAAGUCAGGGGUGAAAUCCUGGAGCUCAACUCCAGAACUGCCUUUGAUACUGAAGAUCUUGAGUCCGGGAGAGGUGAGUGGAACUGCGAGUGUAGAGGUGAAAUUCGUAGAUAUUCGCAAGAACACCAGUGGCGAAGGCGGCUCACUGGCUCAUAUCUGACGCUCAGGCGCGACAGCGUGGGGAUCAAACAGG